UGAAUACGAGACGCUAAGGCGUCGAAGUAGUGUAUGUCAUACUUCCAAGAAAAGCUUGCACUGUCAUAGAUAAAAAACGCCUGUACCAUAACCGACACAGGUGGGUAGGUAGAGUAUACUAAGGGGCGCGAGAUAACUCUCUCUAAGGAACUCGGCAAAAUAACUCCGUAACUUCGGGAGAAGGAGUGCCUUAUUCGUAAGGUUGCAAUAACAAGAUCCAAGCAACUGUUUAUCAAAAACACAGGUCUCCGCUAAGUCGUAAGACGAUGUAUGGGGGCUGACGCCUGCCCAGUGCCAGAAGGUUAAAGAAGUUGGUUAGCAAUUGCGAAGCUGAUAACUGAAGCCCUGGUGAACGGCGGCCGUAACUAUAACGGUCCUAAGGUAGCGAAAUUCCUUGUCGGGUAAGUUCCGACCCGCACGAAAGGCGUAAUGAUUUGGAUACUGUCUCGGAGAGGGGCUCGGUGAAAUAGACUUGUCUGUGAAGAUGCGGACUACCUGCACCAGGACAGAAAGACCCUAUGAAGCUUUACUGUAACUUGAAAUUGAAAUUGGACUUUAUUCGCGCAGUAUAGGUGGGAGGCGUUGAUUAUAAUCUUGUGGGAUUAUUGGAGCCAUCAGUGAGAUACCACUCUUGUAAUGUUAGAUUUCUAACUUUGAAUCAUUAUCUGGUCAAAGAACAGUUUCAGGCGGGCAGUUUGACUGGGGCGGCCGCCUCCUAAACGGUAACGGAGGCGUACAAAGGUUUCCUCUGAACGGUUAGAAAUCGUAUCUAGAGUGUAAAGGCAUAAGGAAGCUUGACUGUGAGACCUACAAGUCGAGCAGGGACGAAAGUCGGUCUUAGUGAUCUGACGGUACUGAGUGGAAAGGCCGUCACUCAACGGAUAAAAGUUACUCUAAGGAUAACAGGCUGAUCUCCCCCAAGAGUUCACAUCGACGGGGAGGUUUGGCACUUCGAUGUCGGCUCAUCGCAUCCUGGGGCGGUAGUACGUCCCAAGGGUUGGGCUGUUCGCCCAUGAAAGCGGUACGCGAGCUGGGUUCAGAACGUCGUGAGACAGUUCGGUCCAUAUCCGGUGUAGGCGUUAGAAUAUUGAGAGGAGCCUUCUUUAGUACGAGAGAACCGAGAAGGACAUACCUCUGGUGUACCAGUUAUCGUGCCAACGGUAAACGCUGGGUAGCUAUGUAUGGAGUGGAUAACCGCUGAAAGCAUCUAAGUGGGAAGCCCACCUCAAGAUAAGUAUUCUCAU
rnacentral:rRNA from 1 species